AUAUGUUUUGUUGUUUCAUCGAAUAAAGAUGGUAAAAUUAGAGUUUGCGUUUUAUAUUUUAUUCUAGUCAAAUUUUAACGUUAUUUUAAAUGGUUUAUUUCGGUAAUCGUAAAUUUGCGUAAUUGAGAGUUAUCCGAACAUCAAAAAUGAAUGCCCACCGAUAGCCAUUCAACACAAAUUGGCGAAAACUUGCCUCGGCGAAAAAAUAGAGUCACCUCGCAGAUCGAAGAAGGAUGAAUACCUACUCGUAUAGUGUUCUAAUUUCGAUGGUACUACCGGCGAAAAAAUAGAGUCACCUCGCAGAUCGAAGAAGGAUGAAUACCUAUAGGUUCGUACUUCGUACACAAAAACAAAUGAUUUGUUUAUUUUGCAAAAAUGUAAGUGCGCCACCUACAUACGUCUUCUUUCAUUUUAUCUGGUAACUGGCAGCACUGAGUAAAAUAUAAUUAUCGUUGGUUACGUUGGCUCACAUGGCUCACAUCAGUUGGCUGUGCGUUGUGAUAUUUACAUCAUUUGGAAUUUUGGACUUUGAAGUUUGAAGCGUUCUUAUCAGUGACGUUUGAGGACUUUGUGCAACAGGCUUAUUAUAUGUAAGAGCUAAUUUUCCAUACAUUUUUUAUGCAAAUUGUGAAGACCGGUGAUGUCGCAAAAUAAUGAAAAUAUGGUUACGGAUUGUGAAGAGGCGAUGCCGCCAUGUGAUGAAAGCAUGGUAACGAUGAACUGCGAAGACACGAUGUUGCAAAAUGACGAAAAUAUGACACCUCGAAAUCUUCGAGUCUAUCCUAGAUACCGAAGAUUCGUCGAUAAAGAAGUGGACGCUUUUUCUGACAUCGAAGCAACUGAAAUUUUGAAACAAGUCAUACGAGAACCGCUCGAAUCCGGACGCGUGCAUGCAAGAUGCUGGGAGCCAUAUUGCGUCAUAAGGAAUUUGACGUUUUCCAAUAAUUCCAAAAAAGCGCACCAUAUUCAAGAGUUCCAUGGUGGUAAAACAAAUCUUCAAAUUUUCAAAUGCCAGAUAUGCUGCGAAUUCUUCUUCAAAACUCGUAAUUUGCAACACCACAAGCGGUCGAAAAAUCACUAAUAUUAGGUAGGUAUACAGGUACAAAAAGAGUAGACCAAUAAUUGUGAGAAAUAUUCUAGAUUGAUGUUUGAUAACAAUUUACGAGAUAUUUUAAUUCGUAACCUGUACUGUACAAUAGUGAUUGAUUUUGUUAAUUUUCAAUUUUUUUUGUUAAAUUUAAAGCAAACUCAUUUUUUUGUAAUUGAUAUUUUUUUUUUGGCCAACGCAAUUGAAUUAAAACUUUAUAUU